GACGAACGCUGGCGGCGUGCUUAACACAUGCAAGUCGAACGGAAAGGCCCUGCUUGCAGGGUACUCGAGUGGCGAACGGGUGAGUAACACGUGGGUGAUCUGCCCUGCACUUCGGGAUAAGCCUGGGAAACUGGGUCUAAUACCGGAUAGGGGCCAUUCUUAGGGUGAUGGUUGGAAAGUUUUUUGGGGGUAGGAUGAGCUCGCGGCCUAUCAGCUUGUUGGUGGGGUAAUGGCCUACCAAGGCGGCGACGGGUAGCCGGCCGGGGGGGGUGGACGGCCACAUUGGGGCUGAGAUACGGCCCAGACUCCUACGGGGGGCAGCAGUGGGGAAUAUUGCACAAUGGGCGCAAGCCUGAUGCAGCGAAGCCGCGUGGGGGAUGACGGCCUUCGGGUUGUAAACUCCUUUCGCUAGGGACGAAGCUUUUUGUGACGGUACCUAGAUAAGAAGCACCGGCUAACUACGUG
rnacentral:rRNA from 1 species